ensembl:snRNA U6 U6 spliceosomal RNA
GUGCUCACUGUGGCAGCGCAUAUACUAAAAAACUGGAACGAUGCAGGGAUUAGGACGGCCCUUGUGUAAGAAUUACACACCAAUUCAUGAAGCUUUCCAUAUUAAA